AGCGAACGCUGGCGGCAGGCCUAACACAUGCAAGUCGAACGACCUCUUCGUAGUUAGUUGCUGUCGCGUGUGUAACACGUCGGAACGUUCCUUUAUGUUCCGAAUUCUUCAUUUACACUUGUGCUAAUAUCGAAUGUGCUCUUCUGGUGCAAGAUUUAUCGACUUUAUAGCGGCCCGCGUCUGAUUAGCCUGUUGGUGAGGUAAAGGCUCACCACGGCUACGAUCAGUAGCUGGUCUGAGAGGAUGAUCAGCGACAUUGAGACUGGGACACGGCCGAAAAUACUACGGGAGGCGGGAGUGGGGAAUCUAGCGAAAUGGGCGAAAGGAUGAAGGAGCCAGGCCGGGUGAAUGAUGAAGGUGGUAGGAAAGAAAAAUAGUUUCAACGGGGACGAUAAUGACGGUACCCGAAGAAGAAGCACCGGCUAACUUCGUG
rnacentral:rRNA from 1 species